rnacentral:rRNA from 1 species
GAUGAACGCUGGCGGCGUGCCUAAUACAUGCAAGUCGAGCGAACAGACGAGGAGCUUGCUCCUCUGACGUUAGCGGCGGACGGGUGAGUAACACGUGGAUAACCUACCUAUAAGACUGGGAUAACUUCGGGAAACCGGAGCUAAUACCGGAUAAUAUAUUGAACCGCAUGGUUCAAUAGUGAAAGACGGUUUUGCUGUCACUUAUAGAUGGAUCCGCGCCGCAUUAGCUAGUUGGUAAGGUAACGGCUUACCAAGGCGACGAUGCGUAGCCGACCUGAGAGGGGGGUUCGCCCCACCUGAAACGAGGACACGGUCCAGCCCCUAAGGGAGGGCGGCGGUGGGAAACCUUCGCAAUGGGGCGAAACCCUGACGAAGCAAGGCGCGGUGGUGAUGGAGGUCCUCCGGUUGGAAAACCCCGUUUAUAGGGAAAAACCAAUUUGUAAGUAAAUAAGGCACUCCUGACGGUACCUAAACAAGAAGCCACGGCUAACUACGUG